rnacentral:sRNA from 1 species
UUAACAAAUGUUAAAGAAUGAAAGUGUC